UACGUAGGGUGCAAGCGUUAAUCGGAAUUACUGGGCGUAAAGCGUGCGCAGGCGGUUGUGCAAGACAGAUGUGAAAUCCCCGGGCUCAACCUGGGAAUUGCAUUUGUGACUGCACGGCUAGAGUGUGUCAGAGGGGGGUAGAAUUCCACGUGUAGCAGUGAAAUGCGUAGAGAUGUGGAGGAAUACCGAGUGGCGAAGGCGGCUCACUGGCUCGUAACUGACGCUCAUGCACGACAGCGUGGGGAUCAAACAGG
rnacentral:rRNA from 1 species